GGACUGGGAUAACUCUGGGAAACUGGGGAUAAUACUGGAUAUUAGGCUAUGCCUGGAAUGGUUUGCCUUUGAAAUGUUUUUUCGCCUAAGGAUAGGUCUGCGGCUGAUUAGGUCGUUGGUGGGGUAAUGGCCCACCAAGCCGAUGAUCGGUACGGGUUGUGAGAGCAAGGGCCCGGAGAUGGAACCUGAGACAAGGUUCCAGACCCUACGGGGUGCAGCAGGCGCGAAACCUCCGCAAUGUACGAAAGUGCGACGGGGGGAUCCCAAGUGUUAUGCUUUUUUGUAUGACUUUUCAUUAGUGUAAAAAGCUUUUAGAAUAAGAGCUGGGCAAGACCGGUGCCAGCCGCCGCGGUAACACCGGCAGCUCGAGUGGUAGCUGUUUUUAUUGGGCCUAAAGCGUUCGUAGCCGGUUUGAUAAGUCUUUGGUGAAAGCUUGUAGCUUAACUAUAAGAAUUGCUGGAGAUACUAUUAGACUUGAAGUCGGGAGAGGUUAGAGGUACUACCGGGGUAGGGGUGAAAUCCUAUAAUCCUGGGAGGACCACCUGUGGCGAAGGCGUCUAACUGGAACGAUCUUGACGGUGAGUAACGAAAGCCAGGGGCGCGAACCGGAUUAGAUACCCGGGUAGUCCUGGCCGUAAACGAUGUGGACUUGGUGUUGGAAUGGCUUUGAGUUGUUCCGGUGCCGAAGGGAAGCUGUUAAGUCCACCGCCUGGGAAGUACGGUCGCAAGACUGAAACUUAA
rnacentral:rRNA from 1 species